rnacentral:rRNA from 1 species
UAAGCGGAGGAAAAGAAACUAACAAGGAUUCCCCUAGUAACUGCGAGUGAAGCGGGAAAAGCUCAAAUUUAAANUCUGGCGGUCUUUGGCCGUCCGAGUUGUAAUUUAGAGAAGGGUCUUCCGCGCCGGACCGUGCACAAGUCUCCUGGAAUGGAGCGUCAUAGAGGGUGAGAAUCCCGUCUUUGGCACGGAUGCCCGGUGCUUCUGUGAUGCGCUCUCGAAGAGUCGAGUUGUUUGGGAAUGCAGCUCAAAAUGGGUGGCGAACUCCAUCUAAAGCUAAAUAUUGGCGAGAGACCGAUAGCGAACAAGUACCGUGAGGGAAAGAUGAAAAGCACUUUGGAAAGAGAGUGAAACAGUACGUGAAAUUGUUGAAAGGGAAACGCUUGAAGUCAGUCGCGUCGACCGAGACUCAGCCUUGCCUUGGCUUGGUGUACUUCUCGGCCCGACGGGUCAGCGUCGAUUUCGCUCCUCGGAUAAUGGCAAGGGAAAGGUGGCACCUUUACGGGUGUGUUAUAGUCUCCUGUCGCAUGCGAGGGGUGGGAUCGAGGAACUCAGCGCGCACCUUGGUGUCGGGGCUUCUGCCCACGUCACGCGCUUAGGAUGCUGGCGUAAUGGCUUUAANCGACC